GCGAAGCGAUACUAUUUUUAUCAAGGAAGCACAAAAACCACUCUACGGCGAAUAGAGUGGUUUU
rfam:Enterococcus ratti strain DSM 15687 Scaffold2, whole genome shotgun sequence.